AACGCUAGCUACAGGCUUAACACAUGCAAGUCGAGGGGCAGCAUGGUCUUAGCUUGCUAAGGCCGAUGGCGACCGGCGCACGGGUGAGUAACGCGUAUCCAACCUGCCUUACACUCUUGGACAGCCUUCUGAAAGGGAGAUUAAUACAAGAUGUUAUCAUGAGUAAGCAUUUUCGCAUGAUUAAAGGUUUACCGGUGUAAGAUGGGGAUGCGUUCCAUUAGAUAGUAGGCGGGGUAACGGCCCACCUAGUCUUCGAUGGAUAGGGGUUCUGAGAGGAAGGUCCCCCACAUUGGAACUGAGACACGGUCCAAACUCCUACGGGAGGCAGCAGUGAGGAAUAUUGGUCAAUGGACGAGAGUCUGAACCAGCCAAGUAGCGUGAAGGAUGAAGGUUCUAUGGAUUGUAAACUUCUUUUAUACGGGAAUAAACGGAUCCACGUGUGGAUUUUUGCAUGUACCGUAUGAAUAAGGAUCGGCUAACUCCGUGCCAGCAGCCGCGGUAAUACGGAGGAUCCGAGCGUUAUCCGGAUUUAUUGGGUUUAAAGGGAGCGUAGAUGGGUUGUUAAGUCAGUUGUGAAAGUUUGCGGCUCAACCGUAAAAUUGCAAUUGAUACUGGCAGUCUUGAGUACAGUUGAGGUAGGCGGAAUUCGUGGUGUAGCGGUGAAAUGCUUAGAUAUCACGAAGAAACUCCGAUUG
rnacentral:rRNA from 1 species